GACGAACGCUGGCGGCGUGCCUAGUACAUGCAAGUUGAGCGCUGAAGGUUGGUACUUGUACCAACUGGAUGAGCAGCGAACGGGUGAGUAACGCGUGGGGAAUCUGCCUUUGAGCGGGGGACAACAGUUGGAAACGAAUGCUAAUACCGCAUAAAAACUUUAAACACAAGUUUUAAGUUUGAAAGAUGCAAUUGCAUCACUCAAAGAUGAUCCCGCGUUGUAUUAGCUAGUUGGUGAGGUAAAGGCUCACCAAGGCGAUGAUACAUAGCCGACCUGAGAGGGUGAUCGGCCACAUUGGGACUGAGACACGGCCCAAACUCCUACGGGAGGCAGCAGUAGGGAAUCUUCGGCAAUGGACGAAAGUCUGACCGAGCAACGCCGCGUGAGUGAAGAAGGUUUUCGGAUCGUAAAACUCUGUUGGUAGAGAAGAACGUUGGUGAGAGUGGAAAGCUCAUCAAGUGACGGUAACUACCCAGAAAGGGACGGCUAACUACGUG
rnacentral:rRNA from 1 species